CUAGCGGCAGGCUUAAUACAUGCAAGUCGAGGGGCAGCGCGGGUAGCAAUACCUGGCGGCGACCGGCAAACGGGUGCGGAACACGUACGCAACCUUCCCAAAACUGGUGAAUAGCCCUCCGAAAGGAGGAUUAAUACACCGUAACAUAAUGAAGUGGCAUCACUUUAUUAUUAUAGGCUUCGGCCGGUUUUGGAUGGGCGUGCGCCUGAUUAGGUAGUUGGCGGGGUAACGGCCCACCAAGCCUGCGAUCAGUAACUGGUGUGAGAGCACGACCAGUCACACGGGCACUGAGACACGGGCCCGACUCCUACGGGAGGCAGCAGUAAGGAAUAUUGGUCAACGGACGAAAGUCUGAACCAGCCAUGCCGCGUGAAGGAUGAAGGCCCUCUGGGUUGUAAACUUCUUUUAUCUGGGACGAAAAAAGCUCAUUCUUGAGCACUUGACGGUACCAGAGGAAUAAGCACCGGCUAACUCCGUGCCAGCAGCCGCGGUAAUACGGAGGGUGCAAGCGUUAUCCGGAUUUACUGGGUUUAAAGGGUGCGUAGGUGGGCAGUUAAGUCAGUGGUGAAAUCUCCGAGCUUAACUCGGAAACUGCCAUUGAUACUAUCUGUCUUGAAUAUUCUGGAGGUGAGCGGAAUAUGUCAUGUAGCGGUGAAAUGCUCAGAUAUGACAUAGAACACCAAUUGCGAAGGCAGCUCACUACGGGAUUAUUGACACUGAGGCACGAAAGCGUGGAGAUCAA
rnacentral:rRNA from 1 species